AUUGAACGCUGGCGGCAGGCCUAACACAUGCAAGUCGAACGAGUGGCGGACGGGUGAGUAAUGUCUGGGAAACUGCCCGAUGGAGGGGGGUAACUACUGGAAACGGUAGCUAAUACCGCAUACCAUCGGAUGUGCCCAGAUGGGAUUAGCUAGUAGGUGGGGUAACGGCUCACCUAGGCGACGAUCCCUAGCUGGUCUGAGAGGAUGACCGGCAACACUGGAAUGGAGCCACGGGCCAGACCCCUACGGGGGGCAGCAGGGGGGAAUAUUGCACAAUGGGGGCAAGCCGGAUGCAGCCAUGCCGAGUGUAUGAAGAAGCCCUUCGGGUUGUAAAGUACUUUCAGCGAGGAGGCGUUACUCGCAGAAGAAGCACCGGCUAACUCCGUGCCAGCAGCCGCGGUAAUAC
rnacentral:rRNA from 1 species